rnacentral:lncRNA from 1 species
GCAAACAACUUCUACUCUAGGCAAAGUGACUUCCAACAAGACAGGGGUAAAAGAACCUGAGCUAGAGUCCAGACAACCAAAUCUGUUAAAGUCUAUCCUGCAGUCUACGGGCAAAGUCACUAAAAAUGUGCAGCUUUUUACUGAGGCUCCAGAUUUCAAGAGCAAAAUAAAAGCUGCCAAAUAGAAGUGCUAGACAACCUAUUCUGGGUA